CACCAAGACCUCUCUGAGUAGA
rnacentral:miRNA from 1 species